rnacentral:rRNA from 1 species
UACGUAGGGGGCGAGCGUUGUCCGGAAUCAUUGGGCGUAAAGCGCGUGUAGGCGGUCCGGUAAGUCCGCUGUGAAAGUCGGGGGCUCAACCCUCGGAUGCCGGUGGAUACUGUCGGGCUUGAGUACGGAAGAGGCGAGUGGAAUUCCUGGUGUAGCGGUGAAAUGCGCAGAUAUCAAGGAGGAACACCAAUGGCGAAGGCAGCUCGCUGGGACGGUACUGACGCUGAGACGCGAAAGCGUGGGGAGCAAACAG